AGGAGAGCAUGGAGGAGCACACAGAGGAGCAGAGAGUACCAGUCCAACAGGUCACUGGUAAAUGUUUAAUCUGUUUAAUCCAGCCGAGUGGCAGAGAAGCUCAUCUAUUAGCAGCCUGCGCCUGUCCAGCCUCCAUUACUCCAGACUCAGGAGAAGUCUGCAGUAAACAAGUCAGGCCAGUGGACGGUACCCCAGACACGGAUAGGACCAUCAUAAUAGGAUCAUUUAUGGACAGAGGGGCCUGAGGCUUGGGGUGGUUCCCACCCCCACCAGGCAUGAAGCCCAGCAGACGGCAUCACCCGCUCCUGUCUAAGGGGCUUCUCCCUUGCCAGGACGCGAGAGACGUCACAGCGGAGGACGGCGAGUGGAGCGUAAACAAUGAUGUGGGGCGGAAAACAAGAGCCUCUCUGAGACGGACCAGGGCUGAGGGUGGGAGAAGAGACCUUCUGAAAGUGCCACGCCCUGUCCCUGCAGGAAUGGCGAUGGUGGAGGUGUCCUCACAGAAACGCUCUCUAUCUGUCCACAGAGGAGCUAGGGGAGCAGGAGGAGGCCGCGAAUGACGAGGGGACGCCUAAGAAUGACAACAAGCAUGGAGGAAAACGAGACGCUUCCCCUCACCUUCCCACAGUUCAGAUAUCAACAGUGAUGAGUGCCGGAUGAGCUCCUUAGACAAAGGCCACCCUUUGACAGUGUCAUUUCUGCAGGAUCUCCAGGCACACGCAAGGAACUGCAACCUCAAAUGGCCCCACAUUACGAUUCCUGGGAUAGACUGUGUGUUUGUGCUGUUACUGAAAGACCAAUGGACAGUACCAGGAUAAUGCAAAACAAUUUCAUAUUUCAGACACAAACAAUAAUCCUGCCUUCCAACUAGUAGCAUAGUUAGCCUGAAGGCUACUCACUGAAGUCCAAGGGGAGGCCCUGACAUUGUAUCCUUGACUCGAACUGCAUCAGGAAAGUAUCCAGCUUUAUUAAGAACAUACAAGAUACUUUGUGCGCCUAGUAGCACAGCAAUUAAAUGGGUCUUUUCUGUGACUCAAUGGCAAUGAAGUCAACCAUCACAAAGAGUCCGUCUGAAAACUUAAGCCUGACUUUCUGCAAAAAAUCAACGUUUAUGGUGCGUAAACACUUUCCUGUUUAAUCUCAGCAGCAUAACACACAUAUGGCUAUGACAAAGCAGCUACUGUAAAUACAUUAAUGUUCGCCCUCAUUAAAAAAGCGCUUGUCAUUGCUAUUCCAUGACUGAGAGGAUGAUCCUAACAUUCUGCUGACCAAUAAGAGGCACUAUUAAAAAAC